rnacentral:ncRNA from 2 species
CAUAUCGAGCGCGUCGAAGGUUCCCCGAAGAACAGCAGUUCCGAGGGGAUCAAAAGGGAACACGGUGCGGCGUACCCAUCAGGGACCAAUACCGUGGCUGCCCCCGCAACUGUAAGCGGUGAGUUCUUCCGUUUUUGCCACUGGCCCGCUUGGGCUGGGAAGGCCCGGAAGCGCAUUGACCCGCAAGCCAGGAGACCUGCCCGCGACAUCCACGAAAC